AUUAUUGACUGUUCCUAUUAAAUAAUUUUUUCUCCUGGGUAUUUUUUUUUCAGCUGGGUUGGACAAAUGUUACUGUUAGCAUAUGGUUCCUGCUUUGGAGAUGCAAUUGCUAAUGAAGAUUGUUUCUGUAAAUCCAACCUUCCAAUACAGAUGUGCUCAAGAUGUUUCUGAUGUGUUCAUCUAUUUUCAUCCUGUUGAUCCAAAAGUUCGGGAAGAGGCCAGAAGACAAAAAAAAAAACCAACAGAAAUCAACCAUAGUCUCCCAUUAACACACCAGAGAAGGUAUCUAUCAGAAAGACUUAAGGAUUAUAAAUCAGGUGGUGAUGGUAACUACACAUCUGCCCCCCACACCCUGCUGCCACUAACUAAAGAGUUAGAGAGAGCAUUGCCUUUAUAAGACCAAAACUUUCAUGGCUUCUUCACCUAGAGAAAAUAUCAGUUAAAUCUCCAAGGGUCACAGAAUCUCAACUCUUAGAAGUUACAAGAGUUUCCAGUCCAGAGAAAAGGGAGAAAGGCACAAUACUUGUUGCUGGUGUGUCUGGAAACAAGGAGCUGGGUGAUGUUGAAAUUUCAACUUCGAAAUUCACUGAGCUUAUACACCUGAAGGCUUUAAUAAUUAAAUGUUCACCAUCCUCAGAAAACAGUCAUCCAAGGACCCCAAGAAAUCUAUUGCUGAAAUCUCCAGAAAAUGUAAAGUCCCCGGGAAGUGAUGACCUGAAAGUAGCAAGAAGCACGUACCCUUUUAGAGAAAGACCCAUUUUCCGGGGUUCCUAAGAAGAGCUUUUAGAGGCACCACUGAACAGUGAAGGAAUCCACAUACUCCAAACUACUCUUAGAGAGGAGAGAGACUGACUACCUGCAGCUACCACCAGAAGAGGAAAAUCACACAACCAUCUUGCUCAGGGGUCACCAUCUCCAUAUUUAGCAAGGACCUUUCCCACUGCUUCCCCAGUGCCCUAAGCUCCAGAGGCAGCACAGUCACAGCUUGCCAUGAUAUAGUGAUGGAAGGAGCCACAAAGUAAAUGGACCUGAGUUAACAUUUAACCCUCAUUCCAUAGUUCAUCAGGCACUCUAUCUAUCAGAUCUA
rnacentral:lncRNA from 1 species